AGAAACUGAGAGUGGCACUGACCUCUGUGACUCUGUUACUAAGGCGUGGGACCAUUUCUAAUUUAUUAUUUUUUGGUUUGGAAGCCAACUUCCAGGACUUGCUUUCAUUCUUCCUACCAUAAUAACUCAUGUUCAUUUGGUUGUGAAGCCACUGUGAGGAUCUUCUAGCUGAUAAUCAUCUCAACAAAAAGUUGGAGAGAGCCAGCAGGAGAGAGAGAGAGACAGACAGAGAGAGAGAGACAGAGAGAGAGAGAGAGAGAGAGACAGAGAGAGACAGAGAGAGAACAGCUAAAAGAAGAAUCAGGAACAAAGCAAAAGCUAGGUGUUACAAUUCAUGUAGCAGCCAUUUCUCACAGUCUCUAAAAAAGAGGCAAAAGGAAGAAAGCGGAGCGAUGGCUGGGCGAACGGCGUGGGGGAAAGCAGAGGCAGAGGAAUCAUGGCAGUGCCGCCGUGCGGCUUUCCUUCCAUCCAGAGGUUUGUGAGGAAAGGAAAGGAGGGCUGAGGAACCACCGCAACCUGGAGGUCAUCAGAGGUAUCCCCUGCAGCCGCAUCAAAAAUCAGACCAGAGCUCAGCAACUUCCCUAACUACCUGCAGAGGAUGAUGGGAUCCGAAUCCAGCGAACAUGGAUAUGAUGAUAGGAGCAGGAAAGGCCAUCUCCACAGCAUGAGGAACAGGUCAAGAUAGUAACAGAGACCUUGUACCUAUGUGCCAAACUGCCUACUGUUAGCUCCCAGACUUCUCAGUACAGGAGAAAUGGAAACCCCACAUUCUGAAGCCACCCUGGCUGUGUCUUUUCUCUUGGUAACUGAAUGCAAUUCAUGCACUGCCGAGGCACAGCAUGACCAGAGGUGAGCGGUGUGGUUGAUUAUUGCGUUCAUCAGAUCUUUCCCUGAUUUCUGGUUUCUAUGGGAGAAAAGGAAAUGAAAGUGUGACACUAGCGACCUCAAGAUAAGAAGAGAAAACACGGAGUCAAGGUGGGAAGGAGAAAGAGGGACCAGGCAUUAAACACAGUGGGUGAAUUCUGCCCAUCUCAGCUUCCCUUCCAACACGCAGAUCAAGACAGAACAGUAUUUGAAUAGAAAAAGGCAAGAUAAACAUGAAUACACAUGAGUAAACAUGAAUAUGAACACACAGCCUCAAGCAACCAAAAAAU